GUGGGGAAUAUUGGACAAUGGGCGAAAGCCUGAUCCAGCAAUGCCGCGUGAGUGAUGAAGGCCCUAGGGUUGUAAAGCUCUUUUACCCGGGAUGAUAAUGACAGUACCGGGAGAAUAAGCUCCGGCUAACUCCGUGCCAGCAGCCGCGGUAAUACGGAGGGAGCUAGCGUUGUUCGGAAUUACUGGGCGUAAAGCGCGCGUAGGCGGUUUUCCAAGUCAGGGGUGAAAGCCCGGGGCUCAACCCCGGAAUAGCCCUUGAAACUGGAAGACUAGAAUCUUGGAGAGGUCAGUGGAAUUCCGAGUGUAGAGGUGAAAUUCGUAGAUAUUCGGAAGAACACCAGUGGCGAAGGCGACUGACUGGACAAGUAUUGACGCUGAGGUGCGAAAGCGUGGGGAGCAAACAGGAUUAGAAACCCCAGUAGUC
rnacentral:rRNA from 1 species